AUUGAACGCUGGCGGCAUGCCUUACACAUGCAAGUCGAACGGCAGCACGGGAGCAAUCCUGGUGGCGAGUGGCGAACGGGUGAGUAAAGUAUCGGAACGUGCCCAGUCGUGGGGGAUAACGUAGCGAAAGUUACGCUAAUACCGCAUACGAUCUAUGGAUGAAAGCGGGGGAUCGCAAGACCUCGCGCGAUUGGAGCGGCCGAUAUCAGAUUAGGUAGUUGGUGGGGUAGAGGCUCACCAAGCCGACGAUCUGUAGCUGGUCUGAGAGGACGACCAGCCACACUGGGACUGCGACACGGCCCAGACGCCUACGGGAGGCAGCAGUGGGGAAUUUUGGACAAUGGGCGAAAGCCUGAUCCAGCCAUGCCGCGUGCAGGAUGAAGGCCUUCGGGUUGUAAACUGCUUUUGUACGGAACGAAAAGGUUUGGCCUAAUAAGCUGAGCUCAUGACGGUACCGUAAGAAUAAGCACCGGCUAACUACGUGCCAGCCGCCGCAGUAA
rnacentral:rRNA from 1 species